rnacentral:rRNA from 1 species
UAGAGUUUGAUCCUGGCUCAGGACGAACGCUGGCGGCGUGCCUAACACAUGCAAGUCGAGCGGGUAGGUGCUUUAAUGAACCUUCGGGUGAUUUAAAGUACCGAAAGCGGCGGACGGGUGAGUAACGCGUGGGAAACCUGCCCUAUGCAGGGGGAUAGCCUCGGGAAACCGGGAUUAAUACCCCAUAAAACUCUAACACUGCAUGGUGUGUGAGUCAAAGCUUUAGCGGCAUAGGAUGGUCCCGCGUCCCAUUAGCUAGUUGGUGAGGUAACGGCUCACCAAGGCGACGAUGGGUAGCCGGCCUGAGAGGGUGGACGGCCACACUGGGACUGAGACACGGCCCAGACUCCUACGGGAGGCAGCAGUGGGGAAUAUUGCACAAUGGGCGAAAGCCUGAUGCAGCGACGCCGCGUGAGCGAUGAAGGCCUUCGGGUCGUAAAGCUCUGUCCUCAGGGAAGAAGUCUCUUUGUGUGAACAAUGCGAAGAGGUGACGGUACCUGAGGAGGAAGCCCCGGCUAACUACGUGCCAGCAGCCGCGGUAAAACGUAGGGGGCAAGCGUUGUCCGGAAUUACUGGGCGUAAAGCGCGUGUAGGCGGGCUGUUAAGUCAGAUGUGAAAACCUAUGGCUCAACCAUAGGAUUGCAUCUGAUACUGACAGUCUUGAGGGCAGGAGAGGAGAGCGGAAUUCCUAGUGUAGCGGUGAAAUGCGUAGAUAUUAGGAGGAACACCAGUGGCGAAGGCGGCUCUCUGGACUGACCCUGACGCUGAGACGCGAAAGCGUGGGGAGCGAACAGGAUUAGAUACCCUGGUAGUCCACGCCGUAAACGAUGGGUACUAGGUGUUGGAGGUAUCGACCCCUUCAGUGCUGUAGCUAACGCGAUAAGUACCCCGCCUGGGGAGUACGGCCGCAAGGCUGAAACUCAAAGGAAUUGACGGGGGCCCGCACAAGCGGUGGAGCAUGUGGUUUAAUUCGACGCAACCCGAAGAACCUUACCAGGGCUUGACAUCCCUCUGACCGGUCUGGAGACAGGCCUUUCCUUCGGGACAGAGGUGACAGGUGGUGCAUGGUUGUCGUCAGCUCGUGUCGUGAGAUGUUGGGUUAAGUCCCGCAACGAGCGCAACCCCUAUCCUUAGUUGCCAGCGGGUGAAGCCGGGCACUCUGGGGAGACUGCCGGUGACAAACCGGAGGAAGGUGGGGAUGACGUCAAAUCAUCAUGCCCCUUAUGUCCUGGGCUACACACGUGCUACAAUGGCCUGUACAGAGGGCAGCGAAACCGCGAGGUGGAGCGAAUCCCAAAAAGCAGGUCUCAGUUCGGAUUGCAGUCUGCAACUCGACUGCAUGAAGUCGGAAUCGCUAGUAAUCGCGGGUCAGCAAACCGCGGUGAAUACGUUCCCGGGCCUUGUACACACCGCCCGUCACACCACGAAAGUCGACAACACCCGAAGCCGGUGAGCCAACCGCAAGGAGGCAGCCGUCGAAGGUGGGGUCGAUGAUUGGGGUGAAGUCGUAACAAGGUAACC